rnacentral:rRNA from 1 species
GACGAACGCUGGCGGCGUGCCUAAUACAUGCAAGUCGAACGCAGUUGCGAACGGGUGAGUAACGCGUCGGUAACUGCCUCAUUGCUGGGGAUAACUCUUGGAAACGAUAUCUAAUACCGCAUACUGUGAGCUGGACCUGCGUUGUAUUAGUUAGUUGGUGAGGUAAAGGCCCAACAGGGCCACGAUACAUAGCCGAGCUGGGAGGGUGGACAGCCAAACUGGGAAUGAGACAAGGCCCAGACUGCUAAGGGAGGCAGCAGUAGGGAAUGUUCGGAAAUGGACGGAAGGCGGGACGAGCAAAGCCGCGUGAGUGAAGAAGGGUUUCGGAUCGUAAAGCUCUGUUGUUAGAGAAGCGGUAACUAACGAGAAAGGGACGGCUAACUACGUGCCAGCAGCCGCGGUAAUAC